GAUGAACGCUGGCGGCGUGCUUAACACAUGCAAGUCGAACGGGAUCCCAGGAGCUUGCUCCUGGGUGAGAGUGGCGAACGGGUGAGUAAUGCGUGACCGACCUGCCCCAUACACCGGAAUAGCUCCUGGAAACGGGUGGUAAUGCCGGAUGCUCCAGUUGACCGCAUGGUCCUCUGGGAAAGAUUCAUCGGUAUGGGAUGGGGUCGCGUCCUAUCAGCUUGAUGGCGGGGUAACGGCCCACCAUGGCUUCGACGAGUAGCCGGCCUGAGAGGGCGACCGGCCACAUUGGGACUGAGAUACGGCCCAGACUCCUACGGGAGGCAGCAGUGGGGAAUAUUGCACAAUGGGCGCAAGCCUGAUGCAGCGACGCCGCGUGCGGGAUGACGGCCUUCGGGUUGUAAACCGCUUUUGACUGGGAGCAAGCCCUUCGGGGUGAGUGUACCUUUCGAAUAAGCACCGG
rnacentral:rRNA from 1 species